rnacentral:rRNA from 1 species
ACGGGUGGUAAUGCCGGAUGCUCCAGUUGAUCGCAUGGUCUUCUGGGAAAGCUUUCGCGGUAUGGGAUGGGGUCGCGUCCUAUCAGCUUGACGGCGGGGUAACGGCCCACCGUGGCUUCGACGGGUAGCCGGCCUGAGAGGGCGACCGGCCACAUUGGGACUGAGAUACGGCCCAGACUCCUACGGGAGGCAGCAGUGGGGAAUAUUGCACAAUGGGCGCAAGCCUGAUGCAGCGACGCCGCGUGAGGGAUGGAGGCCUUCGGGUUGUAAACCUCUUUUAUCGGGGAGCAAGCGUGAGUGAGUUUACCCGUUGAAUAAGCACCGGCUAACUACGUGCCAGCAGCCGCGGUAAUACGUAGGGUGCAAGCGUUAUCCGGAAUUAUUGGGCGUAAAGGGCUCGUAGGCGGUUCGUCGCGUCCGGUGUGAAAGUCCAUCGCUUAACGGUGGAUCCGCGCCGGGUACGGGCGGGCUUGAGUGCGGUAGGGGAGACUGGAAUUCCCGGUGUAACGGUGGAAUGUGUAGAUAUCGGAAAGAACACCA